rnacentral:rRNA from 1 species
AGCGAACGCUGGCGGCAGGCCUAACACAUGCAAGUCGAACGAAGCCUUCGGGCUUAGUGGCGGACGGGUGAGUAACACGUGGGAACGUACCUUUUGGUUCGGAAUAACGCAGAGAAAUUUGCGCUAAUACCGAAUGAGCCCUUCGGGGGAAAGAUUUAUCGCCGAAAGAUUGGCCCGCGUUGGAUUAGGUAGUUGGUGUGGUAAAGGCGCACCAAGCCUACGAUCCAUAGCUGGUCUGAGAGGAUGAUCAGCCACACUGGGACUGAGACACGGCCCAGACUCCUACGGGAGGCAGCAGUGGGGAAUCUUGCGCAAUGGGCGAAAGCCUGACGCAGCCAUGCCGCGUGAAUGAUGAAGGUCUUAGGAUUGUAAAAUUCUUUUACCAGGGACGAUAAUGACGGUACCUGGAGAAAAAGCACCGGCUAACUUCGUGCCAGCAGCCGCAGUAAGAC